GGGAACCUCACCCGGCCCGGACACCGCGAGGAUUGACAGACUGAGAGCUCUUUCUCGAUUCGGUGGGUGGUGGUGCAUGGCCGUUCUUAGUUGGUGGAGUGAUUUGUCUGGUUAAUUCCGAUAACGAACGAGACUCUGUCCUGCUAAAUAGUGACGCGGUUCAUCGAACCGUGGGCCACUUCUUAGAGGGACUAUCGGAUUCAAACCGAUGGAAGUGUGAGGCAAUAA
rnacentral:rRNA from 1 species